rnacentral:sRNA from 13 species
UUUAAUGGUCACGCCCUUCCACGUAAACCCUAAGCCUUACUUGGGUUCCUCAAUCUUAAACCUGGAUGGUACUGGAUUGGGAACUGAUUCCCCUCGGCUCCACUCCAACACAUACUA